rnacentral:rRNA from 1 species
AUUGAACGCUGGCGGCAGGCCUAACACAUGCAAGUCGAACGGCAGCACAGAAGAGCUUGCUCUUUGGGUGGCGAGUGGCGGACGGGUGAGUAAUGUCUGGGAAACUGCCCGAUGGAGGGGGAUAACUACUGGAAACGGUAGCUAAUACCGCAUAACGUCGCAAGACCAAAGUGGGGGACCUUCGGGCCUCACACCAUCGGAUGUGCCCAGAUGGGAUUAGCUAGUAGGUGGGGUAAUGGCUCACCUAGGCGACGAUCCCUAGCUGGUCUGAGAGGAUGACCAGCCAAACUGGAACUGAGACACGGCCCAGACUCCUACGGGAGGCAGCAGUGGGGAAUAUUGCACAAUGGGCGCAAGCCUGAUGCAGCCAUGCCGCGUGUAUGAAGAAGGCCUUCGGGUUGUAAAGUACUUUCAGCGGGGAGGAAGGCGGUGAGGUUAAUAACCUUGCCGAUUGACGUUACCCGCAGAAGAAGCACCGGCUAACUCCGUGCCAGCCGCCGCAGUAA